rnacentral:rRNA from 1 species
UGGGGGAUAUUGCACAAUGGGCGAAAGCCUGAUGCAGCGACGCCGCGUGGGGGAUGAAGGCUUUCGGGUUGUAAACCUCUUUCGCUAUCGAACAAGGCCCGCUUAGGGUGGGUUGAGGGUAGGUGGAGAAGAAGCGCCGGCUAACUACGUGCCAGCAGCCGCGGUAAUACGUAGGGCGCGAGCGUUGUCCGGAAUUAUUGGGCGUAAAGGGCUUGUAGGCGGCUUGUUGCGCCUGCUGUGAAAACGCGGGGCUUAACUUCGCGCGUGCAGUGGGUACGGGCAGGCUUGAGUGAGGUAGCGGUGACUGGAAUUCCAGGUGUAGCGGUGGAAUGCGCAGAUAUCUGGAGGAACACCGAUGGCGAAGGCAGGUCACUGGGCCAUUACUGACGCUGAGGAGCGAAAGCAUGGGUAGCGAACAGG